GAGUAGAGUGGCGCACGGGUGAGUAACGCGUAAAUAAUCUACCCCUGCAUCCGGGAUAACCCGCCGAAAGGUGUGCUAAUACCGGAUACGUUCUUUUGAUCGCGAGAUUAAAAGAAGAAAGGUGGCCUCUGAUAUAAGCUACUGUGCGGGGAGGAGUUUGCGUACCAUUAGCUAGUUGGUAGGGUAAUGGCCUACCAAGGCAAUGAUGGUUAGCGGGUCUGAGAGGAUGAUCCGCCACACUGGAACUGGAACACGGACCAGACUCCUACGGGAGGCAGCAGUGAGGAAUAUUGCGCAAUGGGGGCAACCCUGACGCAGCGACGCCGCGUGGAUGAUGAAGGCCUUCGGGUCGUAAAAUCCUGUCAGAUGGAAAGAAAUGUUAUAUGGAUAAUACCUGUAUAGCUUGACGGUACCAUCAAAGGAAGCACCGGCUAACUCCGUGCCAGCAGCCGCGGUAAUACGGAGGGUGCAAGCGUUGUUCGGAAUUACUGGGCGUAAAGCGCGCGUAGGUGGUCUGUUAUGUCAGAUGUGAAAGUCCACGGCUCAACCGUGGAAGUGCAUUUGAAACUGGCAGACUUGAGUACUGGAGGGGGUAGUGGAAUUCCCGGUGUAGAGGUGAAAUUCGUAGAUAUCGGGAGGAAUACCGGUGGCGAAGGCGACUACCUGGCCAGAUACUGACACUGAGGUGCGAAAGCGUGGGGAGCGAACAGGAUUAGAUACCCUGGUAGUCCACGCCGUAAACGAUGUCAACUAGGUGUUGGGAUGGUUAAUCGUCUCAUUGCCGCAGCUAACGCAUUAAGUUGACCGCCUGGGGAGUACGGUCGCAAGAUUAAAACUCAAAGGAAUUGACGGGGGCCCGCACAAGCGGUGGAGUAUGUGGUUUAAUUCGACGCAACGCGCAGAACCUUACCUGGUCUUGACAUCCCGGGAAGCUUCAGGAAACUGGAGUGUGCCUCUUGAG
rnacentral:rRNA from 1 species